CCUACGGGAGGCAGCAGUGGGGAAUCUUGCGCAAUGGCCGAGAGGCUGACGCAGCGACGCCGCGUGGGGGAUGAAGCAUUUCGGUGUGUAAACCCCUGUUGCUCGGGACGAACGAUCCUUUUCGAGGGAUGUGACGGUACCGAGUGAGGAAGCACCGGCUAACUCCGUGCCAGCAGCCGCGGUAAUACGGAGGGUGCGAGCGUUGUCCGGAAUCACUGGGCGUAAAGGGCGCGUAGGUGGUUGGAUGCGCCGGUGGUGAAAGCGCAGGGCUCAACCCUGCGUCGGCCAUCGGGACGGUCCGACUUGAGCACUGUAGAGGCAGGUGGAAUUCCGGGUGUAGCGGUGGAAUGCGUAGAGAUCCGGAAGAACACCGGUGGCGAAGGCGGCCUGCUGGGCAGUAGCUGACACUGAGGCGCGACAGCGUGGGGAGCAAACAGGAUUAGAUACCCUGGUAGUCCACGCCGUAAACGAUGGGCACUAGGUGCUUGGGGGAGCGACCCCCUGAGUGCCGACGCUAACGCAUUAAGUGCCCCGCCUGGGGAGUACGACCGCAAGGUUGAAACUCAAAGGAAUUGACGG
rnacentral:rRNA from 1 species